rnacentral:rRNA from 1 species
CGUUAUUAGGAAUAAUUAAUAAUAUCACCUGCACGGUGAAGAAUUAAAUUGCUGCAGUAUCUUGACUGUACAAAGGUAGCAUAAUAAAUAGUUUUUUAAUUGAAGACUAGAAUGAAAGGUAGAGACUAAGAGGAAGGUUUUAAUUAAUUAUUUUGAAUUUAAAUUAAAAAUUAAAAUGUUUUUAUAAAAUUUAGGGACGAGAAGACCCUAGAAGCUUAUAAGUAUUAUUACUUUUUAUUGGGGCAAUGUUUGAAGAAAAAAAUUUUUGGAUAUAUAAUAUCAGAUAAUAAAGUUACUCUAGGGAUAACAGCAUAAUUUAAUUUACAAGUUCUUAUUAAAAAUUAAGUUUGUGACCUCGAUGUUGAAUUAAAGUGAAUUUUUGGUGAAGGGGCUUUAUUAAAUUUAGUCUGUUCGACUAUUAAAAUUUUACA